AUUGAACGCUGGCGGCAGGCCUAACACAUGCAAGUCGAACGAGUGGCGGACGGGUGAGUAAUGUCUGGGAAACUGCCUGAUGGAGGGGGAAAACUACGGGAAACGGUAGAUAAUACCGCAUACCAUCGGAUGUGCCCAGAUGGGAUGAGCUAGUAGGUGGGGUAAAGGCUCACCUAGGCGACGAUCCAUAGCUGGUCUGAGAGGUUGACCAGCCACACUGGAAUGGAGACACGGUCCAGACUCCUACGUGAGGCAGCAGUGGGGAAGAGUAGCCAAUGGGCGCAAGCCUGACGCAGCCAGGCCGCGUGUAUGAAGAAGGCCUUCGGUUUGUAAAGUACUUUCAUCGGGGAGGCGUUACCCGCCGAAGAAGCACCGGAUAACUCCGUGCCAGCAGCCGCGGUAAUUC
rnacentral:rRNA from 1 species